rnacentral:rRNA from 1 species
CGGAUGGAUUUGAAAUUGACUUAGCGGCGGACGGGUGAGUAACGCGUGGGUAACCUGCCUUACACUGGGGGAUAACAGUUAGAAAUGACUGCUAAUACCGCAUAAGCGCACAGGGCCGCAUGGUCUGGUGUGAAAAACUCCGGUGGUGUAAGAUGGACCCGCGUCUGAUUAGGUAGUUGGUGGGGUAACGGCCCACCAAGCCGACGAUCAGUAGCCGACCUGAGAGGGUGACCGGCCACAUUGGGACUGAGACACGGCCCAAACUCCUACGGGAGGCAGCAGUGGGGAAUAUUGGACAAUGGGCGAAAGCCUGAUCCAGCGACGCCGCGUGAGUGAAGAAGUAUUUCGGUAUGUAAAGCUCUAUCAGCAGGGAAGAAAAUGACGGUACCUGACUAAGAAGCCCCGGCUAACUACGUGCCAGCU